ACUUCAAUCACUGGGGGAUCUUAUAAAAUGCAGGUCCUGAUUCAAUAGGUCUGAGGUGGGGACCUCAGUGCCUGCAUUUCCUAUAAGCUGCCAUGUGAUACUGUU
rnacentral:pre_miRNA from 1 species